UUUCAGGGGCAUAGGAGCAGAGGUAUCUUCACUUUUGCCUUGACCACCUGAACAGAGUCCCCCAAUAUUAUUCUCCCUGCCACUGACCUCUCCCAUGUGAGGCAGAGAUCAGAAUUGGGGAGGGCUUCUUUCUCAGCCUCUCCUUACUUUGUGUACAAGAAGCCCUGUGUCUCCUCCAAUCAGAAAGUUGUCUCAGGGGAUAAUAAAUGGCUCAGGUGUCCAUACUACACCUAUGUCAUGCCAUGAUGGGUGUAGCUGUGAAGUUGGAGGCUGAUUUGGGUCCUUCAGAUUAGUACUGGAUCUAAGGAUCCAAGCUAUCAGGAGAAAUUGCUAUGGGGGUUGUCCCCAGCAGUAGCAUUACCACCAUGGGACAGGAAAUGGACACCUAACCUGCUAAGAAGAUUCCUAAUGCCAAUUCCCAAAGAAGAGAAAAUGACUACUUUAAUCUAAACCCCUCACCCUCACCCAAAAGAGGAGUCCUAGGAAGAGCUCAAAGAAGAGGAAACAAAAAAGGAGGCAAGGCCAAAGGAAGAUCCAGUCAUCAAUAUCAGACUUGCCAUUGUGGACAAUGUCUGACCUCUCAAAGAGAUAAACCAACAGAGGAGUCUUUGGUCAUCAUCAGGGAACUUGGCAAAUCCCAACCUAAAACCUACUAAAAGCACUAGGAAUCACCCAAACAGGCCAUAGGUUAAGAAAGCUCAGCCAAGUAGCCCAGUGGGUAAAUUCAGCCAUUCCAUGACAACACCCACUUCAAUUCUCCAUUACCCUCCAAAAACAAGUUAAUGCAACACCCACUGCAGCUGAAGCAACAACACAGGACCCAACAACCCUGGUCACAGGAAGAGGAUCAGGAGACAGUCAUAAUCUCAAAGUAUAAGGACAGGAGAGGAGCAUCAUGAGCCAUAUCAUCUGGAUGAAAGGAAUGAGUAGGGCCAUGAGCACUAAGAGACCCAGAAUAUAACUGGGAGAGAGGGAAAAAGAGCCUGCAUUUAUGGGAAAGGAGGGAACUGAAUGACCUCAGGCAAAUCAGCCUAUCUCUGAAUCUCUUGCCUCUUUAAUACAAUUGAUAGAUUAUACCUAAACUCUCUUCCAGAAGUUCUAAAAAGCUAUCUUAUUCUGAUGUUUGGAUACCCAGUCACUUCCUCAAAUAUCAUCAGAUUUCUUCUCUCAUGGGAAAGGGACGGAGAUACCAAAAAGAGCCUGGGACAUACAUCCCUUCCUUGUCUAACCCCCUCUUCUUUCUCCUCUGACACUGAAGAAAUCUGAACCUGGAAUGUAUCAGGAAAAGGGUUGGAAACCACUAUUUCAAAAGGUAGAAUUCUGAGAUUUCCCUUCAACUGUCAUCCUGAAGGAGAUAUGAAUUCAAGUGAUUCUUUGAGACUCAUUCAGGAUAUAGAUGGAAGUGUCCCAUAGAAAAGUUUUGGACACAAAAGAGAAGAAAUAAGUAGAGACUCAGUAGAUGGGUAAGAUUAAUACUGGUUUUAGGAAUUUUCUGAGGACAAAAAGUGUUAGAAUAUACUUGGAAAAUAGGAGAUCUUCAAGGAUGCUUGAAAGCAAAUAAGCAAGAACAACAAAUAUCUUUUUGGUGGGUUUCAUUUUUAUAUUUCCUUCAUUCCUAAUUCUAUUGCCUUCCUCAAUUUUAUUAUGCUUCCUUUAUAAGAACUGCGUCUUUUUCACAAUUUAGUUUUACCUUAAGGGUAGAGCAUGGUUAGCUCCCUUGUUUAGCAUUUUUUUUUGCCUACCCCUUUCUCAACUGCCCCUUUUCCAGCUGUGUGAAGUCAAAUUUUGGGGGUGCUAGCACCCCCAGAAAUCACUCUAAUGAGCAGAAGGGAGACUUUGAUAAGAUGCUGGAAGAAAAAAAAUACAGCUUUAUUUGGAGAAAACAGCAGACAACAGGGAAGGGAAAGGAGGGGGAGGGGAAAGGAAGGAAAAAGGAUUCUGCCCCCACUAGCUGCAUGCUGGGGCAAAAAUGUCUCCUUUUUAUGUUUAAGAACAGACUUUUAUAAUAAAUAACAACAAUAAUAAUAAUAAUAGACACAACAACCCUGGAGGGGGGUGUUCACAGACUUGAGUGUGUGAUUUUCAACAGUACAUACCACUAAAGACCCUCAUGAUCAAAGACCCAUGACUAUCUUGUAAUUUUCAGUUUGGGUCAGUAAAGACACAUUUGAAACUCCCUGUUCCUUCUUCCUUCAACUUAUCUUGCCCCUCUUCCUAGAGCUGGCAUGUAUCUUAGGCUACAGAUAAACUCUUCUCAAGGUUUUUGAAAAUAAUGUCAAGAAAACUAAAAGGAGGGGGGCAAUUUUAUUCUAAGGCUAAUUCUAAAUGCAGUCUUGAAAAUUGGGUUUACAAACCAUAUACUACUCUGAGAAUUACACACUGAAUCUUAUCCCACACAAUCCCCCCCUCUUUUAAUUUCAGGGAUGUGUAAUUCUCAUCUGCCUCAGUUUCCCCUGUAUGCAACAACAAUAACAAUAACAUUCAGACAUAAUUAGACAUUCUUCAUUUUCAUCUUCAGAAAUAAUCGUCAUCUGGAAUGGUCUCGUCUCAUUCACUCUGCUGCCAGUUGCACAUAGGGCCUCUAGGGAUCUUCUUGUGAAAACAAAUCCUUUGCAAAGCAAACAUUUUAUGAAAGAAAUUCUUCUAACUCAGGUUCUUUAGGAUAUACAGAAAUUUCAGGGCCCUAAUCCUUAGUCUAAAAUUUAGCUUCUCAUAACUACUUCUACCUAUUUCUAUGGAAUCUCAAUUACAGCCUUGAUUAGUCAACUUGCUUGUUUGGAAAAUGGAAACUUUCCAUCUUACAAUUUUAAUCCUGUGCUGAUUGUAGGAAUUUGUCACAAAAGAAAGGCAGGGAAAAGAUCUUUAACUGUGUCUGGAGUGGAAUCUCAGGAUCUACACCCCAAAGUCACACUAAUGAGCAGAUAGGAGAUUUAGAUAAGGUACUGAUGGAGAAAAUAUGGCCUUUAUUGGGAAGGAGAGAAGACCAGGGUACUACUCUAGGAGUGGUCUACCCAAAGCACUGUCCAAAGAUAAAGUCAGAAUUUAUAGGAAAUUAACAGAAUACACCACUAUGUAAGAUACAAUGUCUGUAUAUGUUAUAUUUUCUUCCUCUUGUCCUACCCUCCUUAAGUUUCCCAGUGUUCUUGAGCUCAUGGGAGCAUGUCUCAAGUUUGUAAUUUUGAAGCUGAGUCAGAGUUUAGACAUUGCCAAGGCCUUCCAUACUGAAGCAUUUGGGACAGUGAGUUGAGAUUGUAAUUUUCCAUCACUACCUAGCUUCUAAACUCUUUUCAUCUUCUGAAUACUGACUGUUAGAGCUAUUAAGAAAAAGGGGGGAAAUAAGGGGUGCAUCUGUGAGCCUAUGUGACCCAGGAAAAUUAUAAGUCCCAGAGGUAAAACCACAAGCAUUAUUUUGAAAUUCAUCAUUUUUAUUCUAAUUUAUUUGUAGAGACCAUGUGAUAAAAGAGCUUAUAUGCCUGCAUAUUCAUUUCUUAGAAAAUUCAAUUUUUCUUCUCUUUCCUUUUAGUUCAUUUUAGGAAAUUUCUGGCUGCCUGCUGAGAUAAUGGCAUAAAGAUGUAUAGCUAUACUUGUCAAAUGAAUAUCAGUUUUGGAGGAAAGCUCCCUUCUGAGCUCUGAGGGAAGAGGUCUCGGACCAGGACUGUCUAGUUUCUCUCUCUGACUUUCUAAAAAGUAGUUAACCCCCUUUGAAUACAAACGAAACAGAAAAUCACUAAAGAGUUAUCAUUUUCAUCACCAUCACUGCCAUGAUUAUCAUUAUUAUUUUAUUAGCAUCUUAAUAGUCUUACUCAUAUGUUGCAUUUUUUAUAACCAAAGAUUCAGAGCAGGGGUGGGGGUGGAAUAAAUAAUGAUUCACCACUAAUAAUCUUUAUAUAACAAAAGUAACAAAAACUUUAUCUCUAUGUGUUGUUGCUACUGACUUCCUGUUUCUUAUCAUCAAAUAAAUGACAGCGUUUAUGUCAACUCUGCUUCUCCCAUCAUGUCAGGUUGCAUUUGUCUAGAGCACAAGCUGCUUGCUACGAUUAGGAAUAGCUCAGACAUCUAGUGGACAGAACUGGGUUGCCAACCACAAAAUGAUACUGAGCAGAGAGGGCACAGCAUGGCCUUCGCUUUCAGGUUUAUAUGGAACCAGAUGACAGCGAAAGUCCCUUUCAGCUCUACAUCCAUCAUUCUAGAGUCUAAAGCAGAGGUCCAAGGUUCUAGAAAGAUGUAAAAAUAAAUUUAUAUGCAAUAUGCUGGACUGAAACCUGCAGAUCCUGACCAAUGCUAGACUGGAAUUUCUAGACCUGAGCUGCAUCCUAUCAUAAUAAGUUUAUUUCAGAUUAGUGGAGUCAACUUGUAACCAGCCUUCAAAUCUUCCAAGGUAGCAGAACCGCUUAUGGCUUCCAUAACAAACCAACAGGGGUCAUUGAAGAGGCUAGUGGCCUCCAGGAAUCCCUGGGAGGCACUGAAUUGACUUCCACCAAAGUCUAUGAUAAAGACUUGGACAGUCUAUGGAUGAAAUUUGCAAUCCACACUAGCUAUCACCAGAUAAUAGAAUAUAGUGAUAGGCAUAAUCUAGUAAGCUAAAAUGUAAAGGUUUGCAUAUAAAGACAGGUUGAAAAAAAUCAGCUUCAUCUGGAAAAGACAGAGAUGGUUUAGGGAGGCAGAAGUCUAAUUGAAAUAAAAGAUUUAUCUAAGGGCUUCAGGAAUCUGCAGUCAACAGGAUGUGGGAGGAGGGAGAAACAGCAUUUAUAUGGAAUCUAUUAUGUGCCAGAUUUUGUGGAAGGGAGGGAGGAACUUCUGAAGUGUCCUAGUCAGAUCCUAUAAGUUUUGAUUGGCACAUUUUAGAUCAGACUUGAGUAUGUUAGAGAAUAAUCCUCAUAGUAGAGGGUAUUGAGAUCAUGCCAAACUUCAGAGAAGGGAAGGCAGAAAUGGAAUGUGUGAGAUGUUUAUUGGAAAAGCCAUCACAUGGAAGAGGGUCUGGAUUUUCACUGCUUAGGCCAAGAAGCAAGAAGUCAAGAGAAAUGGUUGGAAGCUGCAAAGAGGCAAAGUUAAUCUUGGUCUGAAGAGCAAUGUUACUCACAGUGAGAGCCAUUCCAAAGCAGAACAAGGUUCUUGGGGAAACAGUGGGCUCUCCUCUAGCAAGGGAAAGAUGGAACACUUGUGAAGGAUAAUGGAAAGAGGAUUCUUUUUUAGGCCUGGGUUGAACUAGAGAUCACUGGAGUAUAUUCCAACUCUGAGAUUGUGUGAUUCUAAGAAUGGAAAAGCAAAAGAGCAAUUGGGUGGCCAAGGGGGUUCUUGUAUGUCCAUCAGGGCCCUCGAUUGCUUUCUGCCCAAUGCUACUGAGUACUUUGGCAUUAAUCAUUCAUUUACAUGUGCUCAAGCUUUAUGACCAGAAAGACUAAACACAGAAUUGAGUGAUUCCAUCUUAAAAGAAAUAGCUAUUGCCAUGCUUAUGUUUGUAGGGGAAUCCAUUAUGUGCACUGCCUUCAGACCUUUGUUUCUGCUGCACCUUCUAGGCUCUGACUCCAACCCUUUAGAUGCAUAAGCUCCACAGGAAGCUUGGUUUUAUUGGGUUUUUUGUUUGUUUGUUUUUUAUUUUUCUGAAAAACAAAGUUGAAGGAGCUUUGAUGUGAUAGUAAGUGGUGACAAAUUCUAAUUCAUAUCUAUCAUCUCACAAGAUGGCCUGGUAAAUAUACAUCUAUUUCAGAGAGGAGCACACAAAUGAGAUUUACAUAGAGUUUGAGAUCACUUUCAUAUAUAUUUGUCUUAAUGGUAAAAUGGAUUUCUUAGAUAUUACUGGACAAGAUGUGUUCAUGAUACAUUUGUAGCUCCUGCUCUCCAAAUCUUUUUGCUUUGCUUCAUUUGUCAUUUCCCUCCAGAGAAAUUAUUUUCCUUUGCAAUUGAGUCAUUUAAACAACACAGUGCUAACUGUUUAGUUUUCUAUUAGCCUGGCUUUAAAUGGUUAAUUGGGGCUUACAAAAGCCUUACGUUCAUAAUUAGUAGAUUUGAUAUAAGAUAUUUUGAUGUUAUUUAGUUGUUUCAGUCAUGUCUGACCUUCUUUACCUCAUUUAGGGAUUUCUUAGCAAAGAUACUAGAAGGGUUUUCCAUUUCCUUCUCUAGCUCAUUUUAUAGAGAGGAAACUGAGGCUAACAGGGAGAAAUUACUUGUCCAGAGUCACACAGCUGGUAAGUGUCUGAGGCAAGAUUUGAACUCAGGAAGAUGAAUCGUCCCGAUUCCAGUCCAGCACUCCAUCCACUGCUCUACCUUAGCUGUCAUAUAUAUGCUAUACUUUAUGCCAGAAACAAGAAGAAAGAAGUCUUGAUUCUUAACUUUCCCAAUAAUGGACACAUUAAAUCAAGCAUAGAUAAUUCAAAAUAUGACACAGGAAGCUUCUAAGAAUCCUCAAUUUCCACAAAUCCUCAAAAUCCACAUUAGAAAAAGUAAAUUAAAGGUGUAUAUUUAUGUAUAUAAAGCUGUUUGGGGAGAAGGAUUUCUCUUCUGAAGGACACCUAACUUUCACUAAUUUUCUAUAGGAAGUUGCCAAUCUAUGAUUACUAAUAUUAAUAUACGCUGGAUGAUAAUGCAUGAUUUUAACCCACAGAACUGUCCUUAUGUUUUUUUCAAGGACACAGAGUGAGUGGGUCAACACUGACUGCAUGCACAGGCCAAAGCUGUCACUGGCUCAUGCCAUAACUAUUUCACUCAGGGACCUCUAGUACCCAGGAUCAUAAUGGUCACAUGUAGGUUGAGCUUCAGACUGCCUUUCCAACUGUUAUAGGCAUUUCAUUUAUUCUCUGAGUGUCUUCCAGGCUCACAACAAUAUCAGUGAUGGAUCAAUCAUUCAGACAGUUUGAAAUCCAAGCUUACAAUAAUAUCAGGUGUGAUUCCCACAAACAUUUUGUCUUAAAUGGCAAAAAUCCAACUCAUUACAGUUGAAAGAAAACCUGUUCUCUUAAUGUUCCAAUUUCAUGCCUUCAAAUCCAAAAUCUCAAACAUUUGAUUACUUAUCCUAAUGGCUUUUAAAAUUUUUUUAAAUUAAAUUUAAAUUUUUAAAAUUCAAGUUUAUCUACAAAUGAAUGUUCUUCUACAUUAACUUCUUCCUAUAGUAAAUACCAAUUCUCUAUACCUUAUUUAUUUGCUUUACCAUGGUCUUCAAAAGACUUUCUCUUACUCUAUCAUAAAUAUAUUUAAAAUUGCUUAUCCCUUCUUCUUGGUAAGAAGGGGAGAUGAAAUAAUCAAUUGUUUAAACUUCCUCAAUCUCUAAACAUCCUCUCUUUUUCCCUUCAAGCCUCUGCUUCAAGCAGAAUCACGUUAAACAUAUUCCUACUGACAACCUUGUAUAUCUACUAACAUUAUUCAUAUAACACGUCUGUCUUCUGGCUCUCAUGAAUAGGCCCCAUAUUCCCUUAAAGUUUCCUACACGUUAUAUCUUUCAUAUACUUAUUCUAUACCUCUCUCACUAAAGCUUCCUCAGAGGGGAGAGAGAAGCUUUAAGGUAGGAAGAUAGAGAAAGGAUAGAAGUUUUAGAUACCACGAGGGGGAUGACGGAGUCGAAGUAGAGAUAUGAGGUGACAGGAAUGAGUCUUUAUUAAUUACCAAUGAGCCACAGCCAAGCUCUGAUCAAAGGACCCUUCCGAAGGCUUUUGCCAGUCCAGAGAUCCAGAUUCAAUACCACACAGGUUGGAGAGAUGAUAGAGAAAGAUUAAAGAUGGAGCCUGGCCAAAGGCCAGGCCCCAGCGAGGACAGGCAUCAGUGCGAGCUGGAAAGAAGGAAGAGCAGAAGAGAGAAAGGCGGAGCUGGCUGGGCCCUAUUUAUAUGCAAAUAUACACAGUACAUAGGGAUGAUUACCAUUGGUUAAUGACAAGGUAUAGGUGUGGUUUCUCUUAACCAGGUGAGCACAAAGAAACCUGUGUUCCUGCCUAACCUGUGGGAAGCCGGGGUCAAGGGUCAGAGGCUUUCCCAGCCAUGUGCAAUACUGAGCAUGCUCAAGACUGAGCAUGUUCUCUUCUAAGACAAUCUGUACAUACCAACUGUUCCCCUUGCCCAUAGCUAGGGGUGGACUGCUACACUCACCUUCUAUGACUUGCUUCUGCCAUCACUAAUCUUAAUUUCCACCAGAUAUUCUGUCACCUGCUAUUAGUGGCUCAGAAAAGCCCUGAUUAUCAUUCUUUUUAUCAAUUGCAUGAUUCACAUUCAUAAUUUUACAUACAUAUCUUACAUAUUGUCUAAUCCAGUUCACCUCAGAUAUUAAUUUUGCUAAAAGUAAAAAUUUAUAAAUCAUUUAGGUUUACCCAAAAUUACAUUCUACAGACAACUAGAUUACAUUACAAUACAUAUUUACAUUCAAUAAUGAAGUCAAUUUUUACCCAAAGUACAUACUUUGGCAACAAUUCAUAUAUCCCAAUUGAUCACAACAAAUGUUUACAAAUUCAGAAAUUCUUUAGUAAUAUUCCAAACUCUCAUUACAUAUUUCAUUCCUCAUUUCCAAUUUACAAGUCUAAAAUCCCAUCUUCCCCAAUGUUCAUUACAUUUUCACAUGUUGGUUAAUUCCAACAGUAGAUAUACUAAAAUAACAUUUUCACAUUCUCAUUUGUCAAACCAAAAUUAAAUCAUACAGAAUUUUCUUCAUAUUACAUCACAUCUUCUUCUAAGCUGGUACUAAAUUUUUAUACACUUUACACUGAUUUUAUUGAACCCUUAUAUUCAUUAAGCAGGCAACACAGCACUUAUCAGGAGUUUGCUUCACAUCUGUUUCUUUAAAAAAAAUUCUUUUUACCAAUUAGGCUGGCUAUUAAUUACAUUUACUACAACCAACAGAGAUUUAUAAACUAUACAACUGAUGCAAUUAUAGGCUUAUUAGCUCAGUAACUGGAUGCUAGUAGGGAUGACAUGGGAAAAUGGAGUUGCCUUAGAUAUGUCCCUGACAAAGGAAGGAGGAGUUUGUAUUAUGAUAGAAGGAUCUUGCUGUACAUAUAUACCUAAUAAUACAUUCCCAGAUGUAUCCAUCACAAGGGCACUUAGAGACUUAAGUGCUCUUAUGGAAGAACUGAAGAGAAACUCAGGGGUUAAUAUUGCCCUGUGGAAUGAAUGGUGGAACUCAAUGUUCAACAGAUGUUGGACUCAAGAUAGCUCCAACCAUAAUUGUUAUUGUUUGAGUUCUUUUACUUAUUCCUUGAUUCCCUGUGUUAUUGUUCCGAUUCAAAGAACUGUAGAGAAUAUUCAUGUUGUAGUUCAAAAAUUGCAUACCCAUCAGGGGGUUCCCAAAAUGAUGGUUUUGACAAAGCAAAAAGUUCCUCAAGUGGUAGCUCAGUCUAAAAGAAGAGCUGAGUCUGAUUUUAUGCUUUAGCUCUUUGAUGAAGAGGGCCCUGAAGAGGGAGAAUAAUGCAACUUUGAAGUGAAAAUCGGUAAGAUUGUGUGGGUUAAAAUCAUGCAUUAUCCUCCAUCAUAUAUUAGUAUUAGCAAUCAUAGAUUGGCAACUUCCCAAAGAGAACUAGUGAAAGUUAGGUGCCCAUUAGAAGGAAAUAUCAAUCUCUACUUAUGGUGAGUAGAGAAAUCUCCUUCCCCAAGCAGCUUCCCUCACCUAUUCUAGAGACCCCUGUGAUAGGUGAAAAUCUGCAUAGUAGCAAGAGAGCAAAUAGACUGAUGCUAGAGUCACUGAGUCAAACAGUGCCCAGGAUACAGAACACAGCGCUGUGGUUGGUUGCCUUUCCUUCCAUUAGCCAAUAGUCUUACGUCGGCAAACUUGCACAAGCGGUAAUGACAUACUACAUUUCCAUUUUGUACAGUAUGGUAUUCGUCCGCAAAAUCCCAUGACAGUGAAAACUUCACAAUACAGAAUUAUAUAUAUACAAAUAUAUUUUAAAACUCACGUUACAGUGAAGCCACGCUAAGUGAACCACAAUAUAGUGAAGGAUAACUGUACCUUUAAUUCAUUCUUUUCUAAUGUGGCCAUAAACCCCCUAUUUUCCCCUUUUUCUUUCAAAAGGUUAAAAGAGGUUAGGUUUCUAUGGGGAAAGUCCUAAAACUUACAGCUACAAUCUUGCCUCCCUGUCCCAAAUGUUUCAGUUUGAAAAGCUUUUGGCCAUGUCUAAACUCUGACUCACCUUAGAGAUUACAAACUUGAGGAAUGCUCCCAUGAGUUUCAGAACUCUGGGAAACUUGAGGGUAAGACAAGAUAAAGAAAAUAUAACAUACACAGACAUUGUAUCUUACACAGGUGGUGGGCGACAAAAAGAGGAGCACUGUAUAGAUUUCCUAUAAAUUCAUUGCUAUUGAAUCCCAGUAGUUGGUAUGUUAUUUAUGUUGUUCAUUUGUUGCAGUUUUAUAUGACUCUUCAUGAUCCUAUUCUGGGUUUUCUUCACAGAGACAUUAGAGUGGUUUGCUAUUUCCUUCUCCAGUUAAUUUUAUAGAUAAGGAAACCAAGGCAAACAGAGUUAACUGACUUACUCAUAGUCAUACAGCCAGUGUUUGAGGGCAAAUUUGAACUCAUGAAGAUGAGUCUUCCUGAUUCCACUCUAUCCACUGUGCCACAUCAGGCUCAUUAAAAGUUUGCAAAAUACUUUAAAUAGGUGCCAUCAUUAUCCCCAUUUAUAGAGGAGGAAACAAAUAACAACAAGGUAGUAUAGUGGAUAGAAUUCCUGACUUGGAGUCAGAAAGGUCACCUAGCUGCUGUUGCAACAUAUUUUUUGUAUUUGUCCAUUAAUUACACUUUAUCUUAACUACUCCAAAUAAAUAAAUAAAUGAUCUAAACAUAAAAGUAGUGUGCCCCAUGUGUAAAGCACUCUUCCCUCCUCUGUUUCAACUACUAACCUCUCUGGCUUCCUUCAGAUUCUAAUUAAAGUCCCACCUUCUAUAGGAAGCUUUCCCCUACUCUCAAUACCAGGACUCUUCUCCUUUGAAUUAUUUUCUAAUUAUCCUGUAUAUAGCUUGUUUCAUAUAUAUUUGUUUGCAAGUUUCUCAUUAGAUUGUAAGCUCUUUGAGGGCAGGGACUGUCUUUUGCUUUUUCACACACACACACACACACACAAGUGCUUAGCAUAAUGCCUGGGACACAUAGUAGAUACUUUAUAAAUAUUUAUUGAAUUGAACAAAAUAAAUCUUGAUUUGUAGCACUUGCCAAUUUUCAGGGUAAAAUGUUUAUACCAGUUAUGUAAUAAUUGGUUCCUCUUGAGCUGGCUAUGGUACUCUCCUCUUUGGGGAUGAGAUGGGGUUUAUAGCUUAAGAGCUUUUGUCUGUAUUCUUCAUUAGAGCCCCUGAAAUGGAUUUUGAGGGCACAAGAUCCUCAUGGUGCACUAAACAAGAAUUAUAAGAAACAUAUCACCUCAGAUAAGUUUUAUGGUACAGUGGCCUGAGAAUCAGUCAUAGAUCUAAAGGGAAUGAACCUUCCUGAUCAGUGUGCCAUACUAAAUGAAAGCUGAGAUGUUCACAAGUGGUCCUGAAGAGUUGGAAGCCAGAACCUAGGAGCAGAGAAAAGCAAACCAGAUGGCUACUGAGUAGAAAUGACCAAUCCCAAAUAGCAAAUCUAAGCCAGUAUAUACCACACGUGAGACCACACAACCAUCAAACCAUGGAAUGAAGUCCAGAAAAGACAAAACCCCAAGGAAAGGCUGGAGAGAACACUGUAGUUUCACCAUAAGAGAACAAGAACCAGAUAACACUAGAGAUGUACAAGGCAUUGAUCUCUACCAAUGAGGAUAAAGUCCCAUACCAAAGGGCUCAGUUUUAGGUACCAUUGGUGAUCGCCACUGGACAUGGCCAUUCAAGCCAUGACCACCUUGGAGCCAGAAUGAAAGAUGGAGUACUGCAGCUAGCCAGUCCUGCAAGGAAGCCUGAGAAUUCAAGGUGCUGAGACUUGAGCCUGAGUGGGGUUUGGACUUACUAGGAUUGUGCUCUAUGGGAACCCAACUAAGCAAUCAAUGUAAUCCUUUCUCCUUUCCAGAGACAGAAGUGGUAUUGAGGAGGGGAUUGUUACUAUCAUGUUGGGAAAAUAAGUUUAUAUACUUGUGAUUAUGUAUUCUGAAGUAAAUAUUUCUGUGUUAAGCUAAUUGGUUAGUGGAUAAAUGGAAUUAGGGUGCAGGGGACCAUUGCCUACGAUUGAGAGGAAAACCAUUGGUAGGGGUUAGAACCAUUUGUAGAGUUUGGAUAUACCUCACAUCCCCUUAAGGUUUCUGCAGAACUCCUGGGGGUAUAGUGAAAGGGAAUCUACCUGGCCUUUGGGAUGUGGAAGCCAGGGUAAUCUGUGUUUCUAGUAGAUAGAUGAAUGGAUAGACUAGAUAGAUAGAUAGAUAGAUAGAUAGAUAGAUAGAUAGAUAGGCAGACAGACAGACAGACAGAUAGAUUGAUAGAUACAGAGACAGACAGACAGAUACAGUCAGACAUAGAGAUAGACAGACACAGAGAGAUAGAUAGAUAUAGAUAGACCAAUACAAUAUAUACACACAUGUAUACACAAGUAUAUAUAAUAUUCACAUACAUAUAUACUCCUAAUGAAUGAUUUGACAUUAAUAGUAUCUUGUUAAUAAUUAAAAAUCAAGUCUGGAGACUACAAAGAGAUCAGCUGAAAGAAUCAUAAAGAAUCUGUUGGGUAUGUCUGGUGUCAGAAACAGAGGUAAACAAAGGAGAUCAGAAGCUGGGCUUUUAUUAUUAAACAAUUUGUUACCACGGUUCUGUAAAAUAUCUGUCUUUGAAAAUCCUCUUCAUUUCCCCAUUUCUAGAGGGCUCUAGACAUCUCCAUUAAAUUGUGGUCUGGUGAGAGUUUGUUCCAAGUAAAUUCCUUGUCUUUUCAUUUUUUUUUCGUGCCUCAACUGACCUAGACUAAAAUAUAUUCAUCCUCCAUCCUUCAUCUAUUAAUUUUAUAUGUUAAAACUUCUGACAGCUAUUGAACAGAGGUCAGAAAAAGAUUUUUGUUUCUAUCCUUAGCAGAUCCUAACAUGCCAUUAUUAACAGAUUCUAAAUGAUUAAAAGAUCCUAAAUGAUGUCAUUAAGACCAUUUCAUCAUCUGUAAAAUACCUUCCCUAUUUCACAUGCAUAGCAUGAGGAACACAUGGAUGACAAGCAUUGUGGUGCAGUAGAAAGAACAGCUAGAUUUGAAGCCAGGGAACCUGGGUUCUAAUCCUAGCUCUGCUCUUUAGUACUUAUUUGACCUUGGCUAAGUUCUUUAAAUCCUAUUUUAGCCUUAGUUUCCUCAUCUAUACAAUAAUCCAAACGAUUGUAAUCACUUUGUUCAUUUCAGAGAUGGGGAUACUGAGACUCAGAAAGAUUACAUGGUUUAACCAAGCCAAUGAGGAGCUGGGACUCAGUAACAUUCGAGGCUCCUUAGAGUUCUGUAUCUGGAAUCCCUGUAUGUGAUAGCAUGUGUCAAAAUGCUUUGAAUUGUCUCACUAUAUAAAUGUCUGCUAUUGAAGCUAAGCUCUGCAGUGAGAAGCUGGUCCCCUGCUCCAGCUAAGCCUCUUAUAGGUUUUCCCUUCAAAGCCUAACCUUAACCUCUGCGGCUGCUGUUAGACUGUGAACUCUGAGGACUGGUUUUUGUCUUUCUGUGUACCUCUUUGUACUUUCUUUGUACUUAGCCAAUGCCUAGCAUAUAGUGGGCACUUAAUAAAUGCCAGGUGCCUAAAUCCUGAGGAGUUCCAUUUUAUCAAGUUAAUUAAAAGGGCUUGGGGUUUGGGGAACAGAUUUCCACUGGCCACACACAAGAAUCCCAUUGAUAAACCUAGGUGCCAGGUGAAAGGUAUGUCUGUCAAAAGUAUUGGGGGUGGGGCAACUAGGUGGCUCAAUGGAUUGAGAGCCAGGUCUAGAGACCAGAGAUGCUGGGUUCAAAUCUGCCCUCAGACACUUCCUAGCUUUGUGAGUCUGGGCAAGUCACUUACCUCUCAUUGCCUAGCCUUUACUGCUCCUCCUUGGAACCAAUACUAAGAUGGAAGGUAAGAGUUUAAAGAAUAGGUGGUACCAGUUGCUUCCACAGGGCUGUCCUUAUGAGAGACCACUCAUAAAAUCAGUAUAUAAAAAAUUAGGUUGCUGGAUGAAUAUAACCUCAGAUUGCAAGGAUAUGAUUUUCUUGUAUUUCCAUCAAACUUGAGGAGCUUGAUAAAUUGCUCUUUCCCAUUUGGGGUUAUUUCUCUCCCAGGAACUGAUUUUGGAUAUCUAGAAUCAAUGCUAAAAAUGAAAAAAAAUCUGCUUGUAGGCUCUUUUUCUCUAGAUAUGGUACAAACUGAAUCUCUGUUAUAACAUUAUCUUGUGUGUAUUAAAAACAGUUGAGUAGAUCAUAGUAGAUUUAGUAUACUUGACUGGUGCCUCUUUGUUAUAAUUUCAGGAGACAAUUUAGGAUAAUUGAUUACUUUUACAUAUACAAUCUUCAUGGGAGGGUCAUUGCUCAAGCUGGUUAAUUUCAUCUACAUUAUAUUUAUUUUUAUCAGUACUCAUUUUUUACAUGGUGACAUUUUAUUUUCAAAAUUCUCGAUUGAACCUAAUCUGGGGUCAUAUAGGGCUUCAUGCCCUGAUCACAAAAAGUAUUUUUUUUUUACUUCCAAGCAAUCUUUCUCUUGAGCAGCAGAGUUCUCUUUGAGAAUUGCACUUUAGUAAUUCAAUUUUUCAUUGGGUUGGCAACCUAAAUAAAAAAAUUAUAAUUCUCACUGAUCUGGAUACAGGUAAUCGAUGCUAUCUAGUCCAAAACUUUCAUUUUACUGAGGAAUAAUUGAGGCCCAUGGAGAUUAUAUGACUUGCCCAAGGGCAUAGGUAUUACGCAUCAGAGUCAGUAUUUGAAAUAGAUUCUUGACUCUAGAGUUGGUUCUUUCUACUCUAGCAACUACAGAAAUGUUUACUAUUACACAUUAAUGAAAAAAUUAAACAAAAAUCCAAAUUUUUGAGUGGUAUGGUAGAACUAUGAUUUUAUGCCUGGGUUGAAAUACUAUCUCAGAUAUCAUUUAUGUAACCCUGGACAAGUCAUUUAACCACCCUAACCAAAAGACUUAACUGUCUUGAGACUUAUAUAUGCAUUUGUAAAAUGAUCUGUUUGAACUAGAUGAAUUCUGAGGUUCCUUCUAGCUCUAGAUCACUGACCUUAUGAUUAUUUUUCAGUUAACUAAAUGACAGAACUCAAGUCAACUUGUAAUUCUGAGUGAUAAUGAGGGCAGGUAGAAGGAUAGAGAAUGGAUGGAUGAGGAUAGCUGCCAUAGAAAGAAAAGUAAAAAUUUAAGGGCACAUUCAUCCAAAAACAUCCUCUAAGACCUGUACAAUGAGGAUUCUGCAGGAGAUUAGACAUCUCUACUUUGAUUGUGGAAGAGAGGAAAAGAAAAUUAGUUCCAGAGAAAUUCUUUGUCAAUUUUUUCUUCCUAUCUCAUCUGAUCCAGGACAAGUUUUCCAAAGACCAAAGACAAGUAAUUUGACCAUGAUAUAAAUAAAAUGUGGGAUUUUUUACAAUCAAUAUUUCUUUUUGGAUUUCUAUUUCUCAUAAUGAACUUUACAUUCAUAACAAGGAAAGUUAUUUUUUUAAGUGGGAAUAAGUUCAUGUAUAUGGAAAAAUAAAAAUUUUCAAAUUUAUCUGAGAUUCCUGAAGGUUUUUUAUGGUUAUUUUGGCUACAAUCCAGCUGCUGGUCCCUGCAUUUUUUGCCCUUGGUUAAAGCCCAGAUUCUUCUUUGUUUUUAUAUGUCAAGGUAAGCAUGAACUUUUGCAAAGGAAAUAGAAAGUGGAGAAUGCACUGAACUUGGUGGGAAAAAAAAAAAGCUGGGGUUUGAAUUCCUAUUCUUCACUUGUUAUAAGAGAACCCAGGCAAGUCACUUUCCUCAUCUAAGU